AGAUACCUACGGGGCGCAGCAGUGGGGAAUGUUGCACAAUGGGGGAAACCCUGAUGCAGCAACGCCGCGUGAGUGAUGACGGCCUUCGGGUUGUAAAGCUCUGUCUUCAGGGACGAUAAUGACGGUACCUGAGGAGGAAGCCACGGCUAACUACGUGCCAGCAGCCGCGGUAAUACGUAGGUGGCGAGCGUUGUCCGGAUUUACUGGGCGUAAAGGGAGCGUAGGCGGAUUUUUAAGUGAGAU
rnacentral:rRNA from 1 species